ensembl:snRNA U4 U4 spliceosomal RNA
AGCUUUGGGCAGUGGCAGCAUUGUAGCCAGUGAGGUUUAUCCAAGCCGCAAUUACUGCUCAUUGUAAACUUUUCCCAACACCCGCCAUGACGACUUGAAAUAUAGUCGUCGGCACUGGCAAUUUUCGACAGUCUCGACGGAGA